GACGAACGCUGGCGGCGUGCCUAAUACAUGCAAGUAGAACGCAGUUCCGAACGGGUGAGUAACGCGUAGGUAACUGCCUCAUAGUGGGGGAUAACUAUUGGAAAAGAUAGCUAAUACCGCAUACUGUGAGAUGGACCUGCGUUGUAGUAGCUAGUUGGUGAGGGAAAGGCUAACCAAGGCGACGAUACAUAGCCGACCUGAGAGGGUGAUCGGCGACACUUGGACGUGUGCACGGCCCAGAGUCCGACGGGAGGCUGCAGGAGGUAAUCUUCGGCAAUGGGUGGAAGUCUGACCGAGCACCGCCGCGUGAGUGAAGAAGGUUUUCGGAUCGUAAAGCUCUGUUGAGAGAGAAGCGUUAACUGACCAGAAAGGGACGGCUAACUACGUGCCAGCAGCCGCGGUAAUUC
rnacentral:rRNA from 1 species